AAUAUCUGGGCUUCUCCUUGGAAAAUAAGUUCUAAUUAUGAACAUAACCUGUAUAUUUAUUACUAAUAAAAUAGAGCACUGCCUCUUAUCUCCUUGGACUUGCUUAGUCCUAAAAGAAUAUGAUAGUACAUACUGUUGUACUCUUCUUACUAGCUAUUAAUUCUAUUUGCUAAACAGUGGUUCUUUCCAACUAGCAGAUGCCCAGCAUGGAACUGUCAAGUUGGUACACAGACCUUUUCUAGCUGUAGAAUUUGGUAAUGUUUCCCAGAGUCAUACUGUAUCGGUUGCCUAUAUUUGGCUAGGUUGAAUAGUGUCUACAAAUAUAGCCUCUGGCUUCUGUAUGAGAUGUGCUAGGCUCUGGCUCCAAAUGCCAUAGCUGUCUCCAGAGACACAUUGCAUCUCUGGUGAUAGUGUCCUUUAAGAGAAGGAGUGCUGAUCAGGUAGAGGGUGUUCUGGGUUUUGGUUUGGUUUGGUUUGGUUUUAUGUCUACAACACAAUCAAUAGCAAAAGCCUUCGGGAUUGAAUUUUAGCCAUCAAAUAUGUUCAUUUGCUUAAUGUCCUAAUGUCAUCCUUUUUCCUUCAGGAACUAAAUAAAUGUACAAACAUAUUUAUAUAUAGACAAGUUAUCAAAAAAUGAACCCAGCAAGACCGCAGGCGCUCUCCAAAAAGAAACUGAAAAGAGCUUACACUAGUAGCUUGACAGCCCAAAAGCUCUAGAACAAAAAGAAGCAAAUACACCCAAGAGGAGUAGAUUGCAGGAAAUAACCAAACUCAAGGCUGAAAUCAACCAGAUAGAAACAAAAAGAACUAUACAAAGAAUCAACAAAACCAAGAGCUGGUUCUUUGAGAAAAAUCAACAAGAUAGAUAAACCUUUAGCCAGACUAAGCAGAGGGCACAAAGACAGUAUCCAAAUUAAUAAAAUCAGUAAUGAAAAGGGAGACAUAACAACGAGAUAUAUCUUAAAAUGAUUAUUUUGUUUCUUGAAUAUUAACAGUUGAAAAUAUUUAAAUCAUGUUCUACAAACAUCAUGGAAAUAUUAUUGAUAAAUUUUCUCACUUUGCUUGAAAUUCACAUUUUCAUAAUGUUUAACUUCAAAGAGUUUUUGCUAUCUUGAAAUUUUUAAAAUAUACUUUAAUGAUAAAAUAAUUUCUCUCCUAGAAACACUGAUAAUCUUUUUUAAGUAAACUGAUUGUUAGAAAAUGUACACAGAUAUAAAACACGUUUUAAAUACUUUGUCACUGUGUCAGAUGGUAUCAUAUAAGGGCUUUUGAAUAUAUUUCUUUUUUAAGAUUUAUUUAUUAUUAUAUCUUAAGUACACUGUAGCUGUCUUCAGACUCACAAGAAUAGGGCAUCAGAUUUCUUUACAGAUGGUUGUGAGCCACCAUGUGGUUGCUGGGAUUUGAACUUAGGACCAUCAGAAGAGCAGUCAGUGCUCUUAAUCACUGAGCCAUCUCUCCAGCUCUUGAAUAUAUUUCUUAAUGAUUCAUUUUUAAUAUUUUAUGCUCUUUUACUAUGCUUAACUCCCCAAGAAUAUUUUAUAUGUUUUGUAACAAUUUAGUAUUCAACAUUAGAUAUAGGAUCCUCAGUUAUAGAUAGUAUUAAAUAUUCAUUAAUGAUAUUUUUAGGGUAUGAAAGGAUAUAAAUAUAAAAGUUGGACAAAAAUUUUAUGUAUUAUUUGAUUCUCAAAAUACUCAAUAUUAUUAAUAUGUUAUAUAUAUAUAUAUAAAAUGUAUUUAAAUAAUAAAAAAUUGUAGAUAAAAAGACCACAGGUACUGGAUUAUAUUUAUGUUCACCUAUCCCAAUUAUUUUUUAUUUUAUCCUUUAUUCAUUAUGAAAUACUUAUGUUUUAAGUUCAGUGCAAUGAACUCUUUGUUUCUGGUGCCCAGACAGGAAAUGGAGAGGUUUGGUUUUUUAAAAAUGUUUUAGUUCAAAAGAGCAUUUAUUAUAUAAAAGAGAUGAGAGAAUUUAUCCACUAGCUGAAAUGGUUACAUAAGACUGGCUACUGCUAUGACUGGGAUUUAGAGAGCUAAUAUAAAAAGAGGUUUCCGUUUUGGGAAAAGUGUCUUGAAAAAAAGACAGCCCUGAAAAUGUUUGGAAAAGCUCCUCAAAAAGCUUGUCUCCUUAACAAAAUCCAACACAGAGGUGUUUCUAACAGGUUAGCUAGUAACUGCCAUACUCAGAAGUAUUCAAAAUAGCCUUUAGUAGUUCCAUACUACUGUACCAAACUGUAAUGUUAUACUAAAAGAAAUGAGCUGUUGAGCUCUAGAAUAUAGAUAGAAGAUAUAGAUAUAGAAGAACCAUAAAUCCACAGUAAAUGAAGGAAGCCAGUCUGAUAAGGCUUGGUUCGCUGGUUUCAGCCAAUUGAUAUUCUAGUAAAGGGAAAGCUAUAAAACUAGCAAAAAAGAUCUGAAGUUUAGGUGAUAGGACAGAAUGAAUAGGCAGAACAGAGAAAUCUUAGGAUAGUGAAACUACUGUGAUUCAGUAUCAAUAGGUGUAUGUGGUUGCAUAUUGUUAUACAUUUCUCUGAACAGUAAGAAUGAAAGUAAUGUGAUCUGUGAUUUUUUUUUUUGGUAUUAAUAAAAUGCUUAUUUAGAUUCAUCACUUAAAACAAAUGUACGACUCUGGAACUAACUUUUGCUAUGAAUUAAAAAAAAAAAAAAGAACUGUUUAGAUAGGAAGAUAGGUACCAAGACACAUUAACAUGAUAGCCAGUCUUUGGCUAGGAGCAUGCAAUGAAUCCCACUGUGGAUCUAUGGGAUGGGCGAGUCAGGAUCUUAGUCACUGAAUAG
rnacentral:lncRNA from 1 species